rnacentral:rRNA from 1 species
AGGGUUUGAUUAUGGCUCAGAACGAACGCUGGCGGCAUGGAUUAGGCAUGCAAGUCGAACGGUACAGCAAUGUACAGUGGCGCAAGGGUGAGGAACGCGUGAGUAACCUACCCUCAAGUUGGGAACAGCUCCUGGAAACGGGAAUUAAUACCGAAUGUGACCAUUAAGAGGCAUCUUUUGAUGGUUGAAGGCCGCAAGGUCGCUUGAGGAGGGGCUCGCGUCCCAUUAGCUAGUUGGUGAGGUAACGGCCCACCAAGGCCAUGAUGGGUAGCUGGUCUGAGAGGACGAUCAGCCACACUGGGACUGAGAUACUGCCCAG